CCAAGUUGUACGUUAAAUAAAAAUAUCUAUCUAUCUAUAUAUCUGUAGUUAUCUCAUAUCUGGUUCACAGCUUUGCAGCGAACCGCCCUUUUUAUGGCGGUUGACAGAGUCUCUGUUUUCCUCCGUCAAUGUGGCAGAAUUCGCUGCAUAGAAUCUUAAUGUUAACUAUGAAAUUUUAGGUUUUUGGAUAAUACAGACUACACUUGUGUAUCCCACGGUGUUUUCUAAAUUUAAAGCACCAGUGUAUCCCACGGUGCAUCUUUACAUUUUCAUAUAUAUCUAUCUAUCUAUCUAUCUGGUUGCCAUAUUAUCUUCGGGUAACCGACCAUAGAUCUAUCUACAUAUACAUAUACAUCUAUGGUCUAUCUAUCUAUAUAUAUAUAUAUAUAUAUUAUAUGAAUCUAUCAUAUUAUGAAUAAAAGCUGUGGCCAGAUAUCGCCAAACCAUAUAUGUAUUUUGUUUUAAUGGCACCAUCUGAGAUAAUGGAAUUUAAGUUAAUAGACUUAAAUUCAGUUAUCGCCGGGGCCACUCACGGAUUGUGUUUCAUGUUUUAGAUUUACCCAACAUGAGUGACGUUAUAUUCUGUGACGUCAUUUAGUCCUUUUUAGAAUUUCAUCGCAGCAAGCAAGCUGUUUAAAUUUCGUAAGCGGUAAACUUGAAAACCCACCCUCCCACUCCUUUUUAUUGUACAAGAUACUGCUCUUUUGUAUUUAUUUUUCAGGUUUGUGUCGGUGACAGUGGUGAUACAGAUUUGACUGAUGAUGUUAACUUGUUUGCUGUUGAGAAAAGUGACUUUUAUUUGAACUUUGAGCAUCAUAAAUAUAUUCCCGUAAAUGGCAGAAUUCGCUGCAUAGAAUCUUAAUGUUAACUAUGAAAUUUUAGGUUUUUGGAUAAUACAGACUACACUUGUGUAUCCCACGGUGUUUUCUAAAUUUAAAGCACCAGUGUAUCCCACGGUGCAUCUUUACAUUUUCAUAUAUAUCUAUCUAUCUAUCUAUCUGGUUGCCAUAUUAUCUUCGGGUAACCGACCAUAGAUCUAUCUACAUAUACAUAUACAUCUAUGGUCUAUCUAUCUAUAUAUAUAUAUUAUAUAUUAUAUGAAUCUAUCAUAUUAUGAAUAAAAGCUGUGGCCAGAUAUCGCCAAACCAUAUAUGUAUUUUGUUUUAAUGGCACCAUCUGAGAUAACUUUAUUCCUUAAACUUUGUGAAACAUAAUAAUUUAGCAAUUAUAUGCAGAGUGAUAUUUGAUACAGCCAGUCUGUUAAUCAAGCACAUUCUGAUAAGGUUGACCAUAUGUUCGACCAAUUUCAAAGAUAGUUGCUAUGGUUAUUAAGUUUAUAAGAAAUCUGAAUGUAAUGGGAUGGUCACUUUUGUGGUUAUUUCCUGUUGUGUAUGUGUAACAAAGCAGUAAAACGAAGAAAACAAUAGAGAAAAUCAUAUCAUCUGAGGUUGAAAGAGAAAGAAAGUAACAUGUAAG
rnacentral:lncRNA from 1 species